rnacentral:rRNA from 1 species
UGAGUAACGCGUGAGAAUCUGCCUCUAGGUCGGGGACAACAAUUGGAAACGAUUGCUAAUACCGGAUAUGCCUACGGGUAAAAGGCUUGCUGCCUGAAGAAGAGCUUGCGUCCGAUUAGCUAGUUGGUGGGGUAAAGGCUUACCAAGGCGGCGAUCGGUAGCUGGUCUGAGAGGAUGACCAGCCACACUGGGACUGAGACAAGGCCCAGACUCCUACGGGAGGCAGCAGUGGGGAAUUUUCCGCAAUGGGCGAAAGCCUGACGGAGCAAUACCGCGUGAGGGAAGAAGGCUCUUGGGUUGUAAACCUCUUUUCUCAGGGAAUCAAAAAAUGACGGUACCUGAGGAAUAAGCAUCGGCUAACUCCGUGCCAGCAGCCGCGGUAAUACGGAGGAUGACAGCGUUAUCCGGAAUGAUUGGGCGUACAGCGUCCGCAGGUGGUACAACAAGUCUAGUGU